rnacentral:misc_RNA from 1 species
GCGAGUUUAUAAAACUCCCAAAACCCUUUGUGAACCUUACCACUGUUGCCUCGGCGCGAGCCGCGGCUACCCGGAAGUUACCCUGCAAUGGUUACCCUGUAGCUACCCUGUAGCUACCCUGUAAUCGUUACCCGGGAGCUACCCUGUAGUACGCACCAAGGCCCGCCGGCGGACCACUAAACUCUGUUUUAUCCAUGUGGAAUUCUGAAUACUUAACUGAAAUACGUUA